CUAGGGAUGUUCCUUCCACAUCCCCAACACCAAACAAUUCUUGGGUACCAGCAGUAUGUCCAGGAAUUCAACCGAAUUCAACUCAACUCUGACACUGUCUACCUGGAGAUGGCAUCGGAUUCCACGGGUUCAAGAGAAAGAGAGAGUACACAAGCAGGAGGAGGGGCAGACAGAGAGGGAGAAGCAGAUUCCUCGAUGAGCAGGGAGCCCAAUGCGGGGCCUGGAUCCCAGGAUCCUGGAAUCAUGACCUGAGCCAAAGCUUGCAGGUCAGAAGUCUGACAAGAGUCUCCCUGGGCUAAAAUCAAGCUGUCUGCAGGAUUAUGUCCUGUCUGCAGACUCUAGAAGAAAAUCCAUUUCUUGCCUUUUCCCAGUUCUGGAGCUG